rnacentral:tRNA from 1 species
GUAGAUAUAGUUUAACCUAAAGCAUUAGAUUGUGAUUCUAAAGAUGAGAGUUAAAAUCUCUCUAUCCACC